GCCCACGGGCCUUGACGGCUACGUCGGAGAUGUUGGGUUCGAUCCAUUUGGAUUCGCUGAAGUCUUUGACAUCAAGUUC
rnacentral:ribozyme from 1 species